rnacentral:tRNA from 1 species
GCCCCCGUGGCGGAAUUGGCAGACGCGGUGGAUUUCCAAUCCACUUACCUUCCACGGGUAGUGCGGGUUCGAACCCCGCCGGGGGCACCA